UAAACUGUAACUUCUAUCUUCUAUAACUUUCCACUGCCUACCUCAAAUCUAUAAAACCAAGCCCUAUCCCACUGCCUUCCUCUGACUCUCCUUCUGGACUCAGCCUGCCCACACUAGGGUGAAUAAACAGCCAUGUUGCUCACACAAAGCCUGUUUGAGGGGAGGAGGGGUGGUCUCUUCAUUCA